CUUCUUACCUAGCCAGGGAGACAUCAUGAUCGUGUUGGUGGUAUCCCCAGGGGAAGGUUCACCCAUUGCAUUUGGGGUGUGCUGACCCCUGAGAUUUCCCCAAACUCGGGAAACUGGGAUGAAAAAUGUGUGGUUCAAUCUCUUUCCUAGUGGAAAAGUUAAA
ensembl:snRNA U1 U1 spliceosomal RNA